rnacentral:rRNA from 1 species
GAUGAACGCUGGCGGCGUGCCUAAUACAUGCAAGUCGAGCGAACAGACGAGGAGCUUGCUCCUCUGACGUUAGCGGCGGACGGGUGAGUAACACGUGGAUAACCUACCUAUAAGACUGGGAUAACUUCGGGAAACCGGAGCUAAUACCGGAUAAUAUAUUGAACCGCAUGGUUCAAUAGUGAAAGACGGUUUUGCUGUCACUUAUAGAUGGAUCCGCGCCGCAUUAGCUAGUUGGUAAGGUAACGGCUUACCAAGGCAACGAUGCGUAGCCGACCUGAGAGGGUGAUCGGCCACACUGGAACUGAGACACGGUCCAGACUCCUACGGGAGGCUGCAGUAGGGAAUCUUCCGCAAUGGGCGAAAGCCUGACGGAGCAACGCCGCGUGAGUGAUGAAGGUCUUCGGAUCGUAAAACUCUGUUAUUAGGGAAGAACAAAUGUGUAAGUAACUACGCACGUCUUGACGGUACCUAAUCAAAAAGCCACGGCUAACUACGUG